UACAGCAUUACUCAUCAUUCCAUAAAGAAAGAAAAACUAGAAACAAUUUGAAUAUCCACCAUAAAAGAAAUAGUUCAGGAAAAAUAGUUUGCAGAGAAUUUUAAAUAUAGAGGAAUGCUUAUAAUAAAAUGCUAGGAGAAAAAGAGCAAGAUAUGAAAUGAUCUCAACUAUGACAUGAGUAAGAAAAACUGAAUGUAGAAUUAUACGUAGUUUUUUUACUUCUGUUAUUUUAAGACCUUCCAAAAUCUCUACAAUAUGCAAAUACCGCUUUAAUGAUGAGGGAAAAAAUGGCGCUCUUUUGGCUGUAAUCUGAGAGAGGGUGAUGGGGCCUUGGCAUGCAGAGAUGAGACGGUGGAAGGAACAGUCCCAGCACUGAGACUUGGGUGCCAAGCCCGCACAGCUUAAGAGCAGAGGAGGAGCGUGCUUUUGUCAAAAGCGAUUGGACAUCUGAGGACAAGAACAUGACUGAAACAACCCAUCUCUCUAAUUCACUGUGUUCUACUUCAUCAGCAUCACUCCGAUAUUAUCAUCAUCUUCAUCAUAACCUCCAUCUAAAAAAGAUUUAUUACACAGUGUUUGCGUCUGUGGUCAAUAUAUAAUACAGACAAGACAAGUGCUCCCUUCCUGCUAUAGAUGAGUUUGCAAUUUAUAAAGGAGUGUGGUGCAGAGGAAACACCUUAUGCUUUGAAAUAAAACCAAACUGGG
rnacentral:lncRNA from 1 species